rnacentral:lncRNA from 1 species
CUGCUGAGUAACAAGUUGGAUCAAGAUCUAUUUGAAUCUAAAACGAACAGGGGUUAAGUUCUUCAAGGGAAUGCUCAAAGAAUCCUGUACACUGAGAGUCAGGAGCUGAAUGUGGAAUUGGCAUCAUCUCUCAUAUCUCACACGGGGGACGUGCUCUGAAGAGCGACGGCAGAAGGCUGAGAAUUACAGUGGGGGCACUGGAUGUCUGUCAUUUGGAGGGAUGGAUGACGCAAGAGUGAACAGAGGGAAUAAAGAAGAGAUCG